GUAGGCGAAGAUAAGUGGGAUGUUUAUCCCGUUAAAGCGUUAGACAACCCGGCCAUCGGUGUGCAGCUAAUGUCUGAGGAGGGAGCUAUAAAAAAAUUACGCAGGCAGGUCGUUGAUGUAAGAUGGAAGGUGGAUGAAGACCCGUCACCCGCCACGCUCUUAGAUUUCGGAAGUGAGGGAGCGAUGGAAGGCAAGCGCACGCAAAUGGCGAAGGGUGCGCCGGACGCCGGAGCCUCGACGGCAAAGUGUAGCUGUGAGGCUAAAAUAAAGGUUCUCGAAGAAGAGAAUGAG